GGAAAGGUUGUAAAAGCGAAUUAACAUAUUAAGUUAUGCUCUAAUAAUACACUUGAUAUCCCUGGUACAAUCAUAUGAAAACGGUUGGAUGACACAUGCUCGAUGGGAAAGUUCUAGAUUCUUGAAAACCCUGGAGUCUACAUAUAAAAAGGGUAAAGGAUCGUCAUCAAAGUACACACUCUAAAAAAACCUUUAAAACGUUGUCAUGUGUUAUUCAAAUCACUGAAUGGAACUUCGAAAUGUAUACAGGUACCAUCCCUCCUUUUUCCUAUUCGACAGAAAGGUCUGAGCCUAUAAAAUAUUCCUGGAAGCUGCUACCUUAUUGGAUCAAAAUAUGUCGUCAAGAUAUUGUGUGUGUGUGCACAUCUGCUAACGAAUUCAUCCUUGAAUGACGAGAGUCUCUCCUCCAGACUAUACAAGGGGUUGUAAUCCCUCUUAAGUGAUUGCUUCAGACGCCCCGCGUCUUCAAAUUGGGCGAGAGUCUCAGUAGCCAUUUCCUAGGUAAGCGCCUUCACGGCUUCCCACUUUUCCCUCACCCACCUUAUUAUCGUUCCUCCUUCACAAAUUCUCAUAUUCACAUGGAUCACCAUGGACAGUAUUCCUCGCAUGGUUCGAGAAUACUUAUCCCUUUGUGCUUUCCCAUUAAAAGGCAUUGGGCUCCUAGUAGAUCAGAUAGUCUGGUAGGAGACAUGUCAAGGAGCAACUGAUAGUCACUUGGAAAAUUCUCAGAGAAGGAGAAGUGGAAAUCAGAAAACUCCACCGCAUUAUAGGCAAGGUUGUUUCAUGAAAAAAGUUUUGGAGGGACAUAUUCAUCUCCUGCUGUCUCCUCCCCUUGACCUAUUUCACGACUUCUAGAUGGUCCAGAGGAAACCUCCUUCCUCCGUGGAACCUUUACAAAACAUGCCUCACCAGUUCGGAAAGUCUCGUAUGGCUUUGCUCGGCCGUCACUUUUCACAUCUUGCAGAAGGGAUGAAGGCAGUCUCGCACGCUGUUAUGAGAUUUGUAUUUUCACUAAGCGCUUUAUUCUCUUGCCAAUGAGGGCUUCUGCCAUGUCCCAUGCGCAAAAACAUGUUGUUAAAACACAAAAAUAAUAAAACAAGAUUGGGUCAAAAAAGGUAUUUCUUCAUACCUAAGUACGCAUUCACCUCAUCCCCGUCUUCAUGGUCCUAAGUAAUAAGGAUAAUGGAUUCCAGAGAACAGAAACAUGUCAAAAUCUAUAUCAUUUUGCAAUCAAUGGGAAAAGAACACUUGAGUCCACCCUUUAGGUAAUUCGUGGAUACAAUGUCCAUGAUAGAGGGAAAAAGGGGUCACCCUUCUCCCCGACAACAACUGGAGAAGUAUCGCCUCGUCCUCUUACACCCACAAACUUGUCCUUUCAUUCCUCAUAAAGGUUUACGAAGGGCUUUAACAAUCAUCAGUCGGCCAAAGGGUGCAACGUCACCCAACCGUUGUUGGGGAGAAUCUCCUUCCUAAAGAAAUAAAGUAACCCCCCCACAACAUAAGACACGUCCAAGUUGCAACAAACUAUCUAAAAAGUCCUAAGUAUGCCCCUACACGUUUGAGGUAAUCUAAGAAGGCGCGACGUUGAUUGUAGUAAAAAAAAUCCGCUUUGAAAGAAGUUAACAAAAUCAAAACCCUCAUCUCAUGAAUAAUGGAAGGUGGACGUAAAGAUAGGGAGCAUAUCUUACCGGAAGUUUCCAUGUUGGCCCUCUUUCCCUUUGAACAGGGUUCCAUAAUCACAUCAUCCCCACGUCCUGUGCUGAAAAAUAUAAUACCAUGACGAAACCUUUUGAUCGCAUCCGCAGUAGAAUAUAGGGAUACAAUGUAUUAAACAUGGAUAAGUUUAGCCUUUCUUUCCCAUGGUCUCUUGGGAAAAGAUAAAAGUAAGAGAAGAUGUUCUCACCCUGAGAAAAAGAGUGAGCUCUUCAUUUUUCCCAUUCGUGCCCCAGAUUUGUAUAUUUUUUUGGAAAAGCAGAAAUGGGAAAGGGUUUUCCCCAAAACUAUAUAUGGGAAACCCAAUGACACAAGCCACACAUUCAACCAAUUAGGUAACCACCACAAGAAGAAGGAAUAUCCCAAUACCUGAAAG
rnacentral:lncRNA from 1 species